CUGAAUGCUUCCUAGGUGCCAGGUGCUCGAACACACAUAAUCCCCUUGGCAGAGAGAGCCCAGUCACCAUCCAAGGUCCCAGGGAUUAGACACCGGGCCUGUCUGACUUGGGUCUGUGGUCUUCCUAUAACACAGGAAAAUGGCAGCAGCUGACAGGCUUCUUGUUUUAAGCACUGGCUGGGGUCCACCUCUCUUCUGAGGCUGCUUCAAGCCCUGCCAAGGUCCUCCCAACAGAGCUCGGUCAUGCCAGAUAUGAAUUCGUUUCACACCCCUCUGAUCUUUUCCACGCUGCCAAACACACUGCAUCCCUCCUUUUCACUUAGGCAUUCUGUUGAAGGUGAAAACAACAUGUUGGAAGAGGGCUGUGAGAGGAAUGAGGGAACACUUAUUUUAAAAUGAGAUUUACCCUGUUCAGCCCUACUCAGUCCUUGGAAAUGAACUUCAGCACAGAUUAGAGGUCUCUUUUUGGAAAAUGGCAAAAUUACAGAGACUGGUCCACUCCUAUGUCCUCUUACUGGUCCCUUGGAAUAGUACUUUUCAAACUUUACUGUGCCUAAGCAUCCCCUACAGAGCUUCCUAAAACUCAUAUUCUUGGGCCCCAUCCCCAGAGACUCUGAUUCAGUGGGUCUGGGUGGGGCAGAGGCAGAAUUGUCAGUUUUGACAAGCUCCCAAAUGAUGCAGAUGCGAAUGGUCAGCGAAGUGUGUGUGGAGUGCCCCUGCCUUGUGGAUGUCACAAAUGAACCUUUUCUAGGCACUGGCUGGAUUUGUCUGCCAGUGCUGGAAGAGUGGUGAACUUUCUAGAUUGCCCUGAGGGCCCCUGGGAAGUGUGGCUCCCUCGAGUGUUACUAACACCCAGGAACAUCAAACGGUCCCCAACUUUCUCUUCCUCCCACUCACUUGGUGGGGAGAGAAGGACAGAAGAUUGGAAAGAGAAGAAGGAAGCACUAAAAUAAACUUUGCCUACUGGUGAUUGUGCUGAGACCAUUCCUGCCAAGAGAAUGACUAGAAACAAUAUUUGCGUUUGAUCCAGAUUUGAAGAUUUGAGGUUGGACACGCAUAUCAGUUUCCUUAUUUGUAAAACCCGGAUAAAACUACGACCUUGAAGAUUCUUGUGAGGAGUAGAGUCACAGCUGGUGAGGGUAGCACCAGAGCCAACAUCUGGUUUCUCAGAAUCUCAGGUCAGUGCGCUCAUGAGCACACCAAUGACAGUGGUGCCCACAGAGUGAGCACCCACCAGGUCUAGGCAUUGCAUAAAUGGCUCCACAGAUGAUGUUCCAGUGAAACCUCACAAUACCCUGACAAAAAAGAUUUGUUUUACCCAGGACAGGUUUUUAAAUUUAGUUUUAUCGAGUUAUAGUUUACAUACAAUGAAAUUCACCAAUUUUGUUUUUCUGGAUGAGUUUUAACAAAGUUGUGAUACAGUUGUGCAACCACCACCAGAGCCAUGACAUAACAUAUUUCCAUCACCCCAAAACUUUCCCUCAUGCUCUUCUGCAGCCAAUCACCUCUCCCUCACACCUCGCCCCUGGAAACCGCUGAUCUGCUCUCUGUCACUGUAAUUUCGCCUUCUCUAGAAUGUCACAUUAAUGUUACAAUAUAGUAUGUAACCUUCCACAUUUAGCUUCUUUCAGUCAGCCAUAUGCUUUUCAGACUUACUCAUGUUGUUGUAUGUAUCAAUAGUUCAUUCUUUUCUUACUGAAAAGUAGCAUUCCAUUGUGCUUGAUGUACAUAAUUUGCUUAUCCAUUCACCUGUUGAUGAACAUUUGGAUUAUUUUCUGUUUCUGGAACUCAAAUCCCAAACGAAUACAAUAUAGAAAUG
rnacentral:lncRNA from 10 species